rnacentral:rRNA from 1 species
ACUCCUACGGGAGGCAGCAGUGGGGAAUAUUGCACAAUGGGCGCAAGCCUGAUGCAGCAACGCCGUGUGAGUGAAGAAGGUUUUCGGAUCGUAAAACUCUGUCCUAAGGGAAGAAACAAAUGACGGUACCUUAGGAGGAAGCCCCGGCUAACUACGUGCCAGCAGCCGCGGUAAUACGUAGGGGGCAAGCGUUAUCCGGAAUCACUGGGCGUAAAGGGUGCGUAGGCGGCUUAGCAAGCCAGGGGUGAAAGGCAUUGGCUCAACCAAUGUAAGCCUUUGGAACUGUUAAGCUUGAGUGCAGGAGAGGUAAGUGGAAUUCCUAGUGUAGAGGUGAAAUUCGUAGAUAUUAGGAGGAAUACCAGUGGCGAAGGCGGCCCCCUGGACAAAGACUGACGCUCAGAUGCGAAAGCGUGGGGAGCAAACAGGAUUAGAUACCCUGGUAGCUACGAG